GUUCCAGCCGCCGCGGUAAUACAGAGGGUGCGAGCGUUGUCCGGAAUCACUGGGCGUAAAGGGCGCGUAGGCGGCCCGGUAAGUAGGGGGUGAAAUCUCGCGGCUCAACUGCGAGGCUGCCUCCUAGACUGCCAGGCUGGAGCACGGUAGAGGCCGGUGGAAUUCCCGGUGUAGCGGUGGAAUGCGUAGAGAUCGGGAAGAAUAUCGGUGGCGAAGGCGGCCGGCUGGGCCGUUGCUGACGCUGAGGCGCGACAGCGUGGGGAGCAAACAGGAUUAGAUACCCCGGUAGUCC
rnacentral:rRNA from 1 species